rnacentral:lncRNA from 1 species
UAGGUGUACCUGUACACUUGCUGCUCCCCUGAUGAUUUGCUCAACAGUGUCUGCAAUUGGCAGCCAGAAGGAGUCCGCAAGAAGCAGGAGGGUUCGGACCUGAGACCGCGCCACAGGAGGAAGGCCAGGAUCUGGGAGCGCAAGCCUCAUCUUGCAGCCUGAGGGAACAGCCUCAUAUUCAGGCUUCCUUUUGCCUUCUCUGCUUCACCUUGAUUGAAGCUACCCUUCUCUGCACCUUCUUUAAGACUAUCCUAAACAUCCUGCCAUUAAUUAGCUGAACAGCCCAUCUAGUAAACAAGACCGAUGGUUGAGGGGCUGGAAAAGAGG